rnacentral:rRNA from 1 species
GAAAAAUUAGCGGAUGACUUGUGGCUGGGGGUGAAAGGCCAAUCAAACCGGGAGAUAGCUGGUUCUCCCCGAAAGCUAUUUAGGUAGCGCCUCGUGAAUUCAUCUCCGGGGGUAGAGCACUGUUUCGGCAAGGGGGUCAUCCCGACUUACCAACCCGAUGCAAACUGCGAAUACCGGAGAAUGUUAUCACGGGAGACACACGGCGGGUGCUAACGUCCGUCGUGAAGAGGGAAACAACCCAGACCGCCAGCUAAGGUCCCAAAGUCAUGGUUAAGUGGGAAACGAUGUGGGAAGGCCCAGACAGCCAGGAUGUUGGCUUAGAAGCAGCCAUCAUUUAAAGAAAGCGUAAUAGCUCACUGGUCGAGUCGGCCUGCGCGGAAGAUGUAACGGGGCUAAACCAUGCACCGAAGCUGCGGCAGCGACGCUGAUGCGUUGUUGGGUAGGGGAGCGUUCUGUAAGCCUGUGAAGGUGUGCUGUGAGGCAUGCUGGAGGUAUCAGAAGUGCGAAUGCUGACAUAAGUAACGAUAAAGCGGGUGAAAAGCCCGCUCGCCGGAAGACCAAGGGUUCCUGUCCAACGUUAAUCGGGGCAGGGUGAGUCGACCCCUAAGGCGAGGCCGAAAGGCGUAGUCGAUGGGAAACAGGUUAAUAUUCCUGUACUUGGUGUUACUGCGAAGGGGGGACGGAGAAGGCUAUGUUGGCCGGGCGACGGUUGUCCCGGUUUAAGCGUGUAGGCUGGUUUUCCAGGCAAAUCCGGAAAAUCAAGGCUGAGGCGUGAUGACGAGGCACUACGGUGCUGAAGCAACAAAUGCCCUGCUUCCAGGAAAAGCCUCUAAGCAUCAGGUAACAUCAAAUCGUACCCCAAACCGACACAGGUGGUCAGGUAGAGAAUACCAAGGCGCUUGAGAGAACUCGGGUGAAGGAACUAGGCAAAAUGGUGCCGUAACUUCGGGAGAAGGCACGCUGAUAUGUAGGUGAAGUCCCUCGCGGAUGGAGCUGAAAUCAGUCGAAGAUACCAGCUGGCUGCAACUGUUUAUUAAAAACACAGCACUGUGCAAACACGAAAGUGGACGUAUACGGUGUGACGCCUGCCCGGUGCCGGAAGGUUAAUUGAUGGGGUCAGCGCAAGCGAAGCUCUUGAUCGAAGCCCCGGUAAACGGCGGCCGUAACUAUAACGGUCCUAAGGUAGCGAAAUUCCUUGUCGGGUAAGUUCCGACCUGCACGAAUGGCGUAAUGAUGGCCAGGCUGUCUCCACCCGAGACUCAGUGAAAUUGAACUCGCUGUGAAGAUGCAGUGUACCCGCGGCAAGACGGAAAGACCCCGUGAACCUUUACUAUAGCUUGACACUGAACAUUGAGCCUUGAUGUGUAGGAUAGGUGGGAGGCUUUGAAGUGUGGACGCCAGUCUGCAUGGAGCCGGCCUUGAAAUACCACCCUUUAAUGUUUGAUGUUCUAACGUUGACCCGUGAUCCGGGU